CCCCUCUCCCUCCCUCUCCCUCUCUCUCUCUCUCUCUCUCUCUCUCUCUCUCUCUCUCUCUCUCUCGCUCGCUGUUUUUUCUCAUCUCAUUGGUCUGAGCUCCCACACUAAUGUGUUUCGACCAAUCCCGUUCGUCUCCCUCUCUCUCCCCCGCUCUCUCUCUCCUUCUCCCGGAUAGCCUCUGUAUGUCAGAGGUAUUGUUCCCGGUAGAGAGGGCUUAACGCAGACCCACACACACACUCACACACAAACACACACGCCAAAGACGCUCAGAGACACUCGCUGUGCUCCGCCGCGGGAAACUGCGUCGCGGUCGGAGGAAACGGACCAGGAACUCUCUCUCGCUCCCGAUCGAACCUCCUCCGUCUCUCGCUCUGUCGAAGCACCGCUACAGCAACCGGCUGCCCUCAGGAGAGACGUCCUCUAAACCCAGGGGAAACGUCCUCUAGACCCAGGAGAGAGGUCCUCUAGACCCAGGAGAGACGUCCUCUAGAGCCAGGAGAGAGGUCCUCUAGACCUAGGAGAGACGUCCUCUAGACCCAGGAGAGAGGUCCUCUAGACCCAGGAGAGACGUCCUCUAGACCUCAAGGAGGGUCCAGUAGAGACCAGGAGGUCCAUCGCGGGGGGGGGGGAACCAUGGCGCACGCCGCAGCCCACCUGAAGAAGGCCCGGUCCGAGAUGGAGCCGCCGGCGGACCUGAAGGCUCUGGAGAAGGCCAAGGAGAGGAGGAGGAGGUCCCGGGAACGGGCGGAGCGCAAACGCAAGUCGGACAGCAACACCAGCUUCCUGCGAGCAGCGAGAGCCGGCAACGUAGACAAGGUUCUGGAAUAUUUGAAGGGAGGCGUGGACAUCAGCACCUGCAACCAGAAUGGGCUCAACGCACUGCACCUGGCCGCUAAGGAGGGCCACAUGGAGCUGGUGGAGGAGCUGCUGGACCGCGGAGCCGGAGUGGACUCUGCUACCAAGAAAGGGAACACAGGGCUCCACAUCUCCUCUCUGGCGGGCCAGCUGGACGUGGUGAAAAUCCUCAUCAAACGGGGCGCUGAGAUCAACUCACAAUCUCAGAAUGGCUUCACUCCGCUCUACAUGGCGGCCCAGGAGAACCACCUGGAGGUGGUGCGGUACCUGCUGGAGCACGGCGGGAACCAGAGCACCGCCACCGAGGACGGCUUCACCCCGCUGGCGAUCGCUCUGCAGCAGGGCCACAAUCAGGUGGUGUCGCUGCUGCUGGAGAACGACACCAAGGGGAAGGUCCGUCUGCCCGCGCUGCACAUCGCCGCCCGCAAAGACGACACCAAGUCGGCUGCGCUGCUGCUGCAGAACGACCACAACGCCGACGUCCAGUCCAAGAUGAUGGUUAAUAGGACCACAGAGAGUGGCUUCACUCCUCUGCAUAUCGCUGCUCACUACGGGAACGUCAACGUAGCGACGCUGCUGCUGAACCGCGGGGCGGCUGUGGACUUCACCGCGCGGAACGGCAUCACUCCCCUGCAUGUGGCCUCCAAGCGAGGGAACAGCAGCAUGGUGGGUCUGCUGCUGGACCGCGGCUCACAGAUCGACGCCAAGACCAGGGACGGGCUGACCCCCCUCCACUGUGCGGCGCGGAGCGGUCACGACCCGGCGGUGGAGCUGCUGCUGGAGAGAGGAGCCCCCAUGCUGGCCCGCACCAAGAACGGCCUGUCCCCCCUUCACAUGGCGGCGCAGGGCGACCACGUGGACUGUGUGAAGCACCUGCUGCAGCACGCCGCCCCAGUGGACGACGUCACCCUGGACUACCUGACCGCCCUGCACGUGGCGGCGCACUGCGGCCACUACCGCGUCACCAAGCUGCUGCUGGACCAGAGGGCCGACCCCAACGCCAGGGCGCUGAACGGAUUCACGCCACUGCACAUCGCCUGCAAGAAGAACCGGGUGAAGGUGAUGGAGCUGCUGGUGAAGUACGGAGCCUCCAUCCAGGCCAUCACAGAGUCGGGUCUGACCCCGGUCCACGUGGCGGCCUUCAUGGGCCACCUGAACAUCGUCCUGCUGCUGCUGCAGAACGGAGCCUCCGCCGAUAUCAGCAACAUCCGGGGGGAGACGGCCCUCCACAUGGCAGCACGGGCCGGCCAGGUGGAGGUGGUGCGCUGCCUGCUGAGGAACGGAGCAAUGGUGGAUGCCAGAGCCAGGGAGGACCAGACUCCGCUCCACAUCGCCGCCCGUCUGGGGAAGACGGAGAUUGUGCAGCUGCUGCUGCAGCACAUGGCGCACCCCGACGCGCCCACCGCCAACGGCCACACCCCCCUGCACAUCUCCGCCCGCGAGGGCCAGCUGGAGACUGCCUCCGUGCUGCUGGAGGCCGGGGCCUCGCACUCCAUGGCCACCAAGAAAGGGUUCACUCCGCUCCACGUCGCCUCUAAGUACGGCCGUCUGGACCUGGCCGCCCUGCUCCUCUCCCGACGCGCCGCCCCCGAUGCUGCGGGCAAGAACGGCCUAACCCCGCUGCACGUGGCCGCGCACUACGACCACCAACAGGUGGCGCUGCUGCUGCUGGACAAGGGGGCAUCGCCCCUCGCCACCGCCAAGAACGGCUACACUCCGCUGCACAUCGCGGCCAAGAAGAACCAGCUGGAGAUGGCGGGGGUGCUGCUGGGCCACGGCGCCCUCCCCCACACCCUGACCCAGCAGGGGGUCACCGCCCUGCACCUCGCCGCCCAGGAGGGCCACGCCCACAUGGCCGCCCUGCUGCUGAGCAAGGCAGCGCAGCCCAACACGGCCACCAAGAGCGGCCUGACCUCGCUUCACCUGGCGGCCCAGGAGGACCGAGUGGGCGUGGCCGAGGUCCUCACCCGGCACGGAGCCAACGCCGACCAGCAGACCAAACUCGGCUACACCCCCCUGAUCGUGGCCUGUCACUACGGAAACGCCAAGAUGGUUCACUUCCUGCUGCAGAACGGGGCCGGAGUUAACGCCAAGACCAAGAGUGGUUACACUCCCCUCCACCAGGCGGCGCAGCAGGGAAACACUCACAUCAUCAACCUUCUGCUGCAGGCUGGAGCCAAACCCAACGCCAUCACAGUGAACGGCAACACAGCGCUGGCCAUCGCCCGCAGGCUGGGCUACAUCUCAGUGGUGGACACCCUGAGGGUGGUGACGGAGGAGGUCACCACCACCACCACGACGGUCACAGAGAAGCACAAACUCAACGUCCCGGAGACCAUGAACGAAGAGCUCGACGUUUCUGAUGAGGAGGGUAGGGCACACACACACACACACACACACACACACACACACACACACACACACACACACACACCGACUCCUCCCUCCCUCCUUCAACUGCUCUUGACACCCCCCCUCCCUCCCUGUAACCAAGGUGACGACACGAUGACGGGCGACGGGGGGGAGUACCUGAGGGCCGAGGACCUGAGGGAGCUCGGGGACGACUCUCUGCCGGGGCAAUACCUGGACGGGAUGAACUACCUGCGCUACAGCCUGGAGGGAGGGGGGCGCAUGGACAGCUCCUUCAGCCCGACCCAUCACAGCUUCUACACCCCCAAACACCAGGGCUUGAUGGAGGAUCUGCUCUCCAGCCACCAGGUUUCCAAUCUAACCCGGGACAACGAGAAGGACUCGUACCGACUCAGCUGGGGAACCGAGAACCUGGACAACGUGGCUCUGUCCUCUAGUCCCAUCCCCUCUGGCCGAUCCUCUCCCUGCCGCCAUCUUGGAGAAAACAGCAGCUUCCUGGUGAGCUUCAUGGUCGACGCACGAGGCGGGGCUAUGCGGGGCUGCCGCCACAACGGACUGAGGAUCCUGGUCCCGCCCAAGAAGUGCAGCGCCCCCACCAGGGUGACCUGCCGCCUGGUGAAGAGGCACCGCCUGGCCACCAUGCCCCCCCUGCUGGAGGGCGAGGGGCUUGCCAGCCGACUGGUGGAGGUCGGGCCCUCGGGGGCCCAGUUCCUGGGUAAGCUCCACCUCCCCACAGCUCCUCCCCCCCUUAACGAGGGCGAGAGCCUCGUUAGCCGUAUUCUCCAGCUGGGCCCCCCGGGGACUAGAUUCCUUGGCCCGGUGGUGGUGGAGAUCCCCCACUUCGCAGCGCUGCGGGGGACAGAGAGGGAGCUGGUGGUGAUGAGGAGCGAGGGGGGAGAUCAGUGGAAGGAGCACCAGUGUGACCACACUGAGGAGGAGCUCAACCAGGUCCUCAACGGCAUGGAUGAGGAGCUGGACUCGCCCCAGGAGCUGGAGAGGAAGCGUAUUUGCCGGAUCAUCACGCGGGAUUUCCCACAAUACUUUGCGGUGGUGUCGCGGGUGAAGCAGGACAGCGAGCUGAUUGGGCCGGAGGGCGGCGUGCUGAGCAGCACGGUGGUGCCUGCGGUGCGGGCCGCGUUCCCCCAGGGGGCGCUCACCAAGAAGAUCCGGGUGGGCCUGCAGGCCCAACCCAUGAGCCUGGAGCUGGUGCGCCGGACCCUGGGCAGCAAGGCCGCCUUCAGCCCCAUCGUCACGCUGGAGCCACGCAGGAGGAAGUUCCACAAGCCCAUCACCAUGACGCUCCCAGUCCCUGAAACCGGCUCCGACCCCGCCCUCAACGGAUUCAGGGGCGACGCGCCCUCCCUGAGGCUGCUCUGCAGCAUCACUGGAGGGACCACGCCCGCCCAGUGGGAGGACAUCACAGGGACCACGCCCCUGACCUUCACCAACGACUGCGUCUCCUUCACCACCAACGUCUCUGCCAGGUUCUGGCUGGUGGACUGCCGGCAGGCGCAGGAGUCUGUGAACUUCUCCACCCAGGUGUACCGGGAGGUCAUCUGCGUGCCUUACAUGGCCAAGUUCGUGGUCUUCGCUAAGACCCACGACCCGAUAGAGGCCCGCCUGCGCUGCUUCUGUAUGACGGACGACCGCAUGGAGAAGAGCCUGGAGCAGCAAGAGCUCUUCACUGAGGUGGCCCGCAGCCGGGACGUGGAGGUUCUGGAGGGGAAGCCCAUCUAUGCAGACUGCUGUGGUAACCUGGUGCCGCUCACCAAGAGCGGACAGCACCACCUCUUCAGCUUCUACGCCUUCAAGGAGAACCGCCUGGCACUCUUCAUCAAGGUCCGGGACAGCACCCAGGAGCCCUGCGGCCGGCUCUCCUUCAUGAGGGAACCCAGAAACUACCGCGCCUUGACCCAGAACGCCAUAUGCAACCUCAACAUCAGCCUGCCCUCAUACUGCAAGGACUCUGAUUCAGAUCAAGAACAAGAAAGCGAGUCGGGCCGACCACGAGGGAGAUACGAAGAGACAGAGACGUCCGUUCUGAAGUCAGAGUUGAUCCGCGACCCUGACCUUCUGUCUGACGUGUCCGAGAUGAAACAAGACCUGAUCAAAAUGACUGCCAUCUUGAUUGCAGAUCCCACUGAGAAAUCCCGGUCCUUAGUAGGGAGCCUUUCAGAGAAGGGGGCUGAGGAGGUGUCUGGAGGGCCGUUAGAAAGAAUGGAGAAGGACUUAGAGAAGGUCAAAGAGGACUUGGAGAAGGUCAGCGAGAUCUUGAGGGGCGGGGCCUAUGAGGGAGGUCUGGCCGAGGACUGGAUCCUCCUCUCUGAUGGUGAGGUAGAGGAAGCCAGAAGGAUGGCCACCUUGACUCUCAAAGAGCCUGUCCUGCGUGAAACCCGGGCCAAUAAAGGGGCUCCCAGGCCUAAAGCCAUCAAAGACAGCGGGGACCUGAAGGAGUAUCUCCCAGCCUCCUCCAAAACAAAAGCUCGGACGGAGGUCCACGAAAAUUUCACAGACGUUGUUCUACGUAAAAGCGCAAAACCCACCCCACCAAAAAAGUCCCAGGAUGAAUCCUCUAUUUCAGUUGUUAGAAAGCCGGUGAGGAGGAAGGGUAAAGAUCCGGAGAUCUCAGAUCCUUCAGAGACGGACGGACAUCUGGGUGUCCCUGCCACAGGCCCAAGGUCACCAAUAUCUCCUGUGAUUGAAGAAACGCCCAUUGGAUCAAUAAGAGAUAAAGUUAAGGCUCUACAGCAAAAAGUGGAGGCAGAACAGAAGACCAAGAAGGUCACUGGAAGCAAGCCCUCACAGUUGCCUUUCGGUAAAAUAUUGCCGAAGCCCAAAGAAAGCCCUAAAUCCAAACAGGGGCCCCCUAAGUCUCCCAAAGCUGAACAGCUGAAACCUGAGGAGACCAUGUCAGUCAAAGCGCUGAUGCAGGCUUUCCAAACAGGGCAGGAGUCCUCGAAGAGGACGGCUGGGCUUUUAGAAGUCAAGACACCCUGCAAAGCACCUUCCGAGGACCCCACAAAACAGCAAACCAUAGAUACAAAAUGUACGACGAAAGUAAUAACAACCCACGUCUCUCCAGAGAGAGAACUGUCCAUGGACUCCAAGCCGAGCAAAGAGGCAGCCAUCAAUGUCCCCGAUUCAGAACUGACUGAUACUGCAGACUUUGGACACGGUGGCCUGGAUGACAGCCCUGAUAGCUUGAAACACGAGGGUGUGGCAGACUCACGGAGCGCCAGUCCCGGAGAUGGGACCCCUCACUUGAGCUCUGAAGACAGCUAUAAGCACGAGGGCCUAGCGACCCCCAGCUCAAGUCCUGAAAGUCUGUCUCUCUCUCCUAAGAAUGGAGACCGCUUGACCAAAAAAUCUGAACCUGACUCCGCCACAGUCCAAGGACAAAGACAAGGCAACAAAACAUCCGCAGAAUCUGGCAUUUGGCCAAUUGAUGAACACAAUUCUACUGUAUUGAUCCCUGUCCCCACCAAUGAGGCUGCUGAUGAGCAUAGCACAAGUGAGUCCAUAGACUUUGGGACCGAAUCUAAGCCAGCUAAAGCUCGAAAGCUAACUAAGACAAUCUCAGAGACACUAGAGACGUUUCUUAGCGACGAGGAAGGCCCGGACAAUCAGCUCGCCGUACCGUCGGCCGGUUCCCCAGCCUCUAGGUCCUUCACUCUGAAUCAAGGGAGCUUAGACUUGCCUUUAAGACGCCAAGACUCAGAUGCCCUCAGCCCCUUAGGCGACGACUCUCUGACCAUUAGCCACAGAGACUCUUUGGAGGGUAGUCCUGUCAUGGAAGAGAAUUCCUCCCAGAAGUCUCCAGACUCCAUCGAACCUAGCCCGACCAGAGAGUCCCCCUGCCGGGACUCAUUGGAGAACAGCCCUACAGAGCAGACCAGCCGCUUACCCUUCCCUCCACACAUAGACCCCACUUCAGUGUCCUCUAGCCAGUCCUGCAGAGCCCCCGAGUUCCCACCCGAUGCUCUGCGCUCUAGGCUCCGAGACUGUGAGGCUAGUGCGGAGGACGACAGUUGUGAGCAGACAUCUCAGAUGACAAGUUCUGGUAAGAGUCCCCUUUCACCUGACACCCCCAGUUCUGAAGAGGUAAGUUAUGAGGUGAACCCUAGAUCCCCUGACCCUAUGUUCCUCCCUAUCCAAUCCAUACCAACUGUCAUCCCCGAAGACCCAGAGGAAGACAUGUCAGACAGCCGUGAGGCACAGAGAAAGAUAACCCCAGAGGAGGAGAUGUUUAAAAUGGCAGCAAAAAUAAAAACAUUUGAUGAGAUGGACCAGGACGCAAGAAGCAAACAGAACUCUAGAAAACAUACAUCAGCAGAUCUUGAAAUUGGGGAUGACAGCUACAUGACAGUGGACUCCAUGAGUUACAACCCUUUCCUCAGUGAAAGUGGUCUUGCUAUUCCCAUAGAGGAUUCAGGGUUAGCUGUUUGUAUUGAUUCCCAUAUUAAAAUACAACCUCCCUCCCCUUUUCCAGCAGGUGGGCAUGAAGAAAUCAACAAGACCUCAACUACAACCACCGUUGACACAUCUGAGGGACCUCAUUCCGACUCAGAUACAAAUUACGCAAAAGACAAACUGAACAUUUCUCUGGCACUGCCAGAAAAAGAAAUUCCAUCUGUAACGGUGGAUGACCGUAUUGGUACGGAAGCUAUCGUUGCCAAUGUAACGACCGAGCAGAGGCAAGAAAGCUUGAGGAAACUAAGCGAAAACAAAAAAGAUGUGGAAUUAGAAGGUCAUGUGGAGUUAGGGGAGCGCCAAUCUGCUCCUAUAAAAACAGCUAGCAACAUAACACACACAGAUCAAACGCCACAAAAAGUGACACCAGAGUCUGUAACCGGUGACUCUGUGGGGCUUGGAGUAGAUAAGGAGAAGUUGAGUCCUGGUCCUUGUAUCCCUGAUGCUAGCGAGGAAGAGCAGGGACCCCCCAAGACCGAGUCGAAGGGUGUCACUGCAAAGGCAGAAGGGGACCCCUGGAAUGCGAUGCGGGAAGACGAUGCCGCCUUUGCAGCACGCGUUAAAGAAGAGGAGCAAAAGAUCCUCAACCUGAUGGUGGAGCGUCCGUCGCAACAGGCCACCCCGGACACCACCCCUGGGAGAACCCCCACAGAGGAGGGCUCUCCCGCCAGCGAGCCCAACCCAUUCCUGUUCCAGGAGGGGAAGCUCUUUGAGAUGACUCGCAGCGGGGCUAUUGACAUGACUAAGAGGAGCUAUGAGGAGGAAGGCCCUGGCUUUGCCUUCUUCCAGAUUAGGGAGCAGCCUCUAGAGGAGGCUCCUGCUGAGGGGGGCGGGGUGGGCGCUGGUCGACCGGCUGAACCGGAGGUUGGCCUCAAUCUUACCAUCGAGGUUAGAACUCAGAAAGAGGAUGAAGUGAAAGAGGCUCCAGAUAGACAGCUUCCGUGCGCUGCUGAGGUCACACAGGUUAUCUCAGGUGAUGAUGGCUCAAAAUCUAAAAUCCCUAAAAUGGGAGUCUCAGCCUCAUCCAAAUCCACGAAGAAAGAUCCUACCCUUCCCGAAGCAGUAGAAGCUAAGGCAGAUAAACCAUCAGACGAGGGUCCUGUAGAUGUAAGCUCCUCUGAUCCAAUGAUGACAGACAUACAAACAGCAGAAAGUACAGUGACCAGGUCUGUGUACUCUGAGCAAAGCCAGGAGUCAUCUGAUUCCUCCCCAGAAGAACCCCAGUCAGUAGUAGAAUCGGCCAAAGCAGACGUUAAGGUAAAACAAGCGACAUCUGCCAAUGUCAAAAAGAUCCAGGUCAAACCCCAAGCCAAGAAUGUCUCUCAAGGUCGUGGGAAACCAACAACCCCAACUCAGUCUUACACCACUUCCUCCUCGAGGACUUUAAAAAAAGAGCCCUCAUUUACAUCUGAGUCCAAAUCUAGAAUCCCCAUCAAAGCGUCCCCUACCAAGUCUGAUUCAACAGUCAAACCCACAGACUCUACCCAGGAGAAAAGGCUUAAAAUCCCUGUUAAAAAGGACUCUAGGAGAAAAUCUGAGACAGAUGCUGGUCCCUCCGUGGAUACCAAAGCCAAGACGUCUUUCAAAGCCAAGAGCUUUUGUGAGGGGGAGUCAACCAGGCCCAAACCCAAAAAGGACCAGGGCCGUCCUUUGAGUGUGGAGUCGGCCAAGUCCAAAGGCUUCCAUUCAAGGCUGCCGGUCAGAAGGAAGGCCGGUCAGGUCACUCCUACUGCAACGCCAACCAAAGUCAAGCAGCAGCCGCAAAAAACCUCCCUUGAGUUCUUGCCCGAGAUAGGUGACGAAGCUGCAAAGCUUGUGGAGAAACUGGUUCAGGCAGAGAAAGACAAGGAGCGAGAAGCUACCGAUAAUAACUCAGAUGAUGAGAGCAGUCUUGUGGACCCUGCUGUUGUUGAAAAGGAAACAUUCCCUGAGGUGCAAUUUCCUCCUCCUGGGGGUGCGUUCCCUAUCCGGCCGCUAUGGGACCAGCCCACUGAGACGCAGUGCACCCCAGAACAUACCGUCCCCCGUCAAGUAGAUCCACAGGAUGAAGCCGAGAGGAGGGAGCAGAGGUUGGCAAUCAUAGCCGACCACCUUGGCUUCAGCUGGACAGAGCUGGCCCGAGAACUGGACUUCAGUGAGGAACGAAUCAACCAGAUAAGGGUUGGGAACCCCAACUCUCUGCAGGACCAGAGCCAUGCCUUGCUCCACCUCUGGACGAAGAGGGAGGGAACACACGCCACAGAUACCGCGCUGCUGAGAAGACUGACCAAGAUCAACCGAAUGGACAUAGUGCACAUCAUAGAGACCAAGAUCAACAAGUCCAACCAGGAGGACACAACGUCACACACCUAUGCAGAGAUCGAGCGAACGAUAGAGGACCGCAGUGAAGGGUUCUCUGCUCUUCACGAGGACAUCGAUAGUCCCAGGGCAUGCAGGCGCAGAGAGGCCUCUCCCCGCGUGGCUGGACGGACGGUGCCUGUGGUGUCAGCAGAGGAACUGUCUGCCAGCUCGUCCUCACUUGGUGAUCGUACUGGUCGCUUGGAGACGGAUACGUCGACAACAACACUACAGAACGAGACGGAAAAAACACACUCUUUACAAAGAGGAUAUGAGGAGGGAGCAGGCACAGUACACUUGUGCACUUUCAAACAAGAGAUAUCAGAGGAGUUAGGGCCGCUGUCCUCCGACAGCUCAGAAGAAGAGGUUCUGACCACCAGGGUGGUGCGCCGCAGAGUCAUUAUCCAGGGGGACGACUUCCCGGACAUCCCCCCCCAAACGGUGACCGAAGAGAAGUUCAUAGAUGACCACGGGAACAUGGUAGUAAAGAAGACCACGCGGAAGGUGAUCAGAAAGUUUCUGUCUGCGGACGGAGUGGAGAGGCAGGAGGUGCAGGUGGAGGGCGCUGAGCAGGAGGCAGUGCGUGUUGAGGAAGGAGACGUGUUCUCCAGAGUGGUCAAGAGGACGGUGGUCCGCAGCCAAGGAGACCAGCAUGAGUCCACCUUCUCUGAGCCGUGGGCGCCGGCUGAAGGAAGCAGCUCCCAGUUUGAGACGGAGGCUGUGCUAGGCCGCAAGGUGAGCCGGGUGGUGAAGACGACGGUGGUACGGGGCGAUCGGCUGGAGAAGCAGACCGGGGAUGCUUCCCUGGCCGCAGACCUGCCCUCCGCCCGGGACGACUUCAGGAAGGCCUUGGGUUAUGCUGGAGGCUUCGGGGAGUACCUCCUCCUGCCUCAUGUAGUGGAGCAGGAGGUGCUGCAGGGCGACGGCUCAGUGCUCAGAAGAACCUCGAUGCGUAAGUCGCGCUCCCAGAGGAGGACGGUGGUGCGGGACGGCCAGGGGAGGAAGCAUGUGACCCUGGAGCGGCUGGACGACGCCCCGGGGGCCCCUGGAGCCGACGCCCUCCAGCAGAAACUCCGCCUGCUGCUGCAACACUACUGCUGCGACGCCCCGCCCCUCAGGGGGGAGGGGCGGGGGACCAGCCCGCCGGGAGCCGGGGGGGACCCGUCCUGUCUCCUCCCUACCGGCCCGCCCUGCUCUCCGCACCAGUCAUAACGGGUCUCUACGUCCAGCAUCUGGUCCACUGGUCUGCCUCUGGUCCACUGGUCUGCCUCUGGUCCACUGGUCUGCUGGUCUGCCUCUGGUCCUCUGGUCUGCCUCUGGUCCACUGCUCCACUGGUCUGCCUCUGGUCCACUGGUCUGCCACUGCUCCACUGGUCUGCCUCUGGUCCACUGGUCUGCCACUGGUCCACUGGUCUGCCACUGGUCCACUGGUCUGCCACUGGUCCACU